AUUAGAGUUUGAUCCUGGCUCAGAUUGAACGCUGGCGGCAGGCCUAACACAUGCAAGUCGAGCGGUAGCACAGAGAGCUUGCUCUCGGGUGACGAGCGGCGGACGGGUGAGUAAUGUCUGGGAAACUGCCUGAUGGAGGGGGAUAACUACUGGAAACGGUAGCUAAUACCGCAUAACGUCGCAAGACCAAAGUGGGGGACCUUCGGGCCUCAUGCCAUCAGAUGUGCCCAGAUGGGAUUAGCUAGUAGGUGGGGUAAUGGCUCACCUAGGCGACGAUCCCUAGCUGGUCUGAGAGGAUGACCAGCCACACUGGAACUGAGACACGGUCCAGACUCCUACGGGAGGCAGCAGUGGGGAAUAUUGCACAAUGGGCGCAAGCCUGAUGCAGCCAUGCCGCGUGUAUGAAGAAGGCCUUCGGGUUGUAAAGUACUUUCAGCGAGGAGGAAGGCGUUAAGGUUAAUAACCUUAGCGAUUGACGUUACUCGCAGAAGAAGCACCGGCUAACUCCGUGCCAGCAGCCGCGGUAAUACGGAGGGUGCAAGCGUUAAUCGGAAUUACUGGGCGUAAAGCGCACGCAGGCGGUCUGUCAAGUCGGAUGUGAAAUCCCCGGGCUCAACCUGGGAACUGCAUUCGAAACUGGCAGGCUAGAGUCUUGUAGAGGGGGGUAGAAUUCCAGGUGUAGCGGUGAAAUGCGUAGAGAUCUGGAGGAAUACCGGUGGCGAAGGCGGCCCCCUGGACAAAGACUGACGCUCAGGUGCGAAAGCGUGGGGAGCAAACAGGAUUAGAUACCCUGGUAGUCCACGCCGUAAACGAUGUCGACUUGGAGGUUGUGCCCUUGAGGCGUGGCUUCCGGAGCUAACGCGUUAAGUCGACCGCCUGGGGAGUACGGCCGCAAGGUUAAAACUCAAAUGAAUUGACGGGGGCCCGCACAAGCGGUGGAGCAUGUGGUUUAAUUCGAUGCAACGCGAAGAACCUUACCUACUCUUGACAUCCAGAGAACUUAGCAGAGAUGCUUUGGUGCCUUCGGGAACUCUGAGACAGGUGCUGCAUGGCUGUCGUCAGCUCGUGUUGUGAAAUGUUGGGUUAAGUCCCGCAACGAGCGCAACCCUUAUCCUUUGUUGCCAGCGGUCCGGCCGGGAACUCAAAGGAGACUGCCAGUGAUAAACUGGAGGAAGGUGGGGAUGACGUCAAGUCAUCAUGGCCCUUACGAGUAGGGCUACACACGUGCUACAAUGGCAUAUACAAAGAGAAGCGACCUCGCGAGAGCAAGCGGACCUCAUAAAGUAUGUCGUAGUCCGGAUUGGAGUCUGCAACUCGACUCCAUGAAGUCGGAAUCGCUAGUAAUCGUAGAUCAGAAUGCUACGGUGAAUACGUUCCCGGGCCUUGUACACACCGCCCGUCACACCAUGGGAGUGGGUUGCAAAAGAAGUAGGUAGCUUAACCUUCGGGAGGGCGCUUACCACUUUGUGAUUCAUGACUGGGGUGAAGUCGUAACAAGGUAGCCGUAGAAU
rnacentral:rRNA from 1 species